rnacentral:rRNA from 1 species
GCAGCCGCCGCGGUAAUACAGAGGGUGCGAGCGUUAAUCGGAUUUACUGGGCGUAAAGCGUGCGUAGGCGGCUAAUUGAGUCGGAUGUGAAAUCCCCGAGCUUAACUUGGGAAUUGCAUUCGAUACUGGUUAGCUAGAGUGUGGGAGAGGAUGGUAGAAUUCCAGGUGUAGCGGUGAAAUGCGUAGAGAUCUGGAGGAAUACCGAUGGCGAAGGCAGCCAUCUGGCCUAACACUGACGCUGAGGUACGAAAGCAUGGGGAGCAAACAGGAUUAGAUACCCGAGUAGUCCCUGUCUCUUAUAC